rnacentral:piRNA from 1 species
UAUCCACUCACAAAUAAUGUCCUAAGCCA